rnacentral:rRNA from 1 species
CCUACGGGCGGCAGCAGUGAGGAAUAUUGGUCAAUGGCCGGAAGGCUGAACCAGCCAUGCCGCGUGAAGGUCAGUGCCCUAUGGGCGUUAAACUUCUUUUGUGCGGGAGCAAUAAUGGUCACGUGUGGCCAGACGAGAGUACCGUACGAAUAAGCAUCGGCUAACUCCGUGCCAGCAGCCGCGGUAAUACGGGGGAUGCAAGCGUUAUCCGGAUUUAUUGGGUUUAAAGGGUGCGUAGGCUGUGAGGUAAGUCAGCGGUGAAAUGCCCCCGCUCAACGGGGUGAAGUGCCAUUGAUACUGGCUGGCUGGAAUGCGGAUGACGUGGGAGGAAUGUGUGGUGUAGCGGUGAAAUGCAUAGAUAUCACACAGAACACCGAUUGCGAAGGCAUCUCACGAAUCCGCGAUUGACGCUGAUGCACGAAAGCGUGGGUAUCAAACAGGAUUAGAUACCCGGGUAGUC